rnacentral:rRNA from 1 species
UACGGGGGGGGCAAGCGUUGUUCGGAAUUACUGGGCGUAAAGGGCGCGUAGGCGGCCUGCUAAGUCGGACGUGAAAUCCCUCGGCUCAACCGGGGAACUGCGUCCGAUACUGGCGAGGCUUGAAUCCGGGGAGAGGGAUGUGGAAUUCCAGGUGGUAGCGGUGAAAAUGCGUAGAUAUCUGGAGGAACACCAGUGGCGAAGGCGGCAUCCUGGACCGGCAUUGACGCUGAGGCGCGAAAGCUAGGGUAGCAAACGGG